CCUACGGGGGGCAGCAGUGGGGAAUAUUGCGCAAUGGGGGCAACCCUGACGCAGCCAUGCCGCGUGAAUGAAGAAGGCCUUCGGGUUGUAAAGUUCUUUCGGUGACGAGGAAGGCGUGGUGUUUAAUAGACAUCACGAUUGACGUUAAUCACAGAAGAAGCACCGGCUAACUCCGUGCCAGCAGCCGCGGUAAUACGGAGGGUGCGAGCGUUAAUCGGAAUAACUGGGCGUAAAGGGCACGCAGGCGGCUAUUUAAGUGAGGUGUGAAAUCCCCGGGCUUAACCUGGGAAUUGCAUUUCAGACUGGGUAGCUAGAGUACUUUAGGGAGGGGUAGAAUUCCACGUGUAGCGGUGAAAUGCGUAGAGAUGUGGAGGAAUACCGAAGGCGAAGGCAGCCCCUUGGGAAUGUACUGACGCUCAUGUGCGAAAGCGUGGGGAGCAAACAGGAUUAGAUACCCUGGUAGUC
rnacentral:rRNA from 1 species